AUGAACGCUGGCGGCGUGCCUAAUACAUGCAAGUCGAGCGAACGGACGAGAAGCUUGCUUCUCUGAUGUUAGCGGCGGACGGGUGAGUAACACGUGGAUAACCUACCUAUAAGACUGGGAUAACUUCGGGAAACCGGAGCUAAUACCGGAUGAUAUUUUGAACCGCAUGGUUCAAAAGUGAAAGACGGUCUUGCUGUCACUUAUAGAUGGAUCCGCGCUGCAUUAGCUAGUUGGUAAGGUAACGGCUUACCAAGGCAACGAUGCAUAGCCGACCUGAGAGGGUGAUCGGCCACACUGGAACUGAGACACGGUCCAGACUCCUACGGGAGGCAGCAGUAGGGAAUCUUCCGCAUUGGGCGAAAGCCUGACGGAGCAACGCCGCGUGAGUGAUGAAGGUCUUCGGAUCGUAAAACUCUGUUAUUAGGGAAGAACAUAUGUGUAAGUAACUGUGCACAUCUUGACGGUACCUAAUCAGAAAGCCACGGCUAACUACGUG
rnacentral:rRNA from 1 species